rnacentral:rRNA from 1 species
AGUGAACGCUGGCGGCGUGCUUAACACAUGCAAGUCGAACGAGAACGGGUUAUAGCUUGCUAUAAUUGUCAGCUAAGUGGCGCACGGGUGAGUAAUGUAUAGGUAAUAUGCCUCUUACUAAGGGAUAACAAAUGGAAACGUUUGCUAAUACCUUAUACUCCUUAUUAACAGAAGUUAAUAAGGGAAAGAUUUAUUGGUAAGAGAUUAGCCUGUAUUGUAUCAGUUAGUUGGUGGGGUAAUGGCUUACCAAGACUAUGACACAUAACUGGUUUGAGAGGAUGGUCAGUCACACUGGAACUGAGACACGGUCCAGACUCCUACGGGAGGCAGCAGUGGGGAAUAUUGCACAAUGGACGAGAGUCUGAUGCAGCAACGCCGCGUGGAGGAUGACACAUUUCGGUGCGUAAACUCCUUUUAUAUGAGAAGAUAAUGACGGUGUUAUAUGAAUAAGCACCGGCUAACUCCGUGCCAGCAGCCGCGGUAA